UGUAAAUGUACAUACAUUUAUUUACAAUAUAUUUAUUGCAAGGAGCUGGGAAUGAAUCAGUCGGCUGUCUCAAAGCGGCUUAACCAGAAUAUUGACUGAAAGAAGCUGUUGAUUGUCUCCAAGACGGACGUGUCUCUUCAUGAAGGAUUUCCCACAGGCAGCGCUACGAAAACACAGAAACACACAAUCACUCACUGAAGCAUGAAGACAAAGCACUGCUCCAUCACAAGUGCUUCUGUAUGUUUGAAGGGGAAAUACACCGCACAGGAAUCAAUGGAUAUCAUUCAGCCUAUCUUACAGGAAAACGCUACUAUU